AGCUCCAGUAGCGUAUAUUAAAGUUGUUGCGGUUAAAACGCUCGUAGUUUGAAAUCUGUUAAAGAUGACCUGUCGACCCGCUGGGUGUGUACAUGGCCAAGCUUUGACAUUAACUUCGAUGAAACAUUGCACUUGGCUGUGUGGUUUUGAAUUUGAUGUUCUUACUUUGAGGAAAUCAGAGUGCUUGUAGCAGGUGUGUGCCUUGCAUACAGUAGCAUGGAAUAUGAUCCUAUGGUUUUGAUUUGUACUUGUUGGCUUUUGAAAUUGAAACAAUGGUGAAUAGGGAUAAUUGGGGGCACUUGUAUUUUAUUGUCAGAGGUGAAAUUCUUGGAUUAGUGAAAGACAACCUGCUGCGAAAGCAUUUGCCAAACAUGUUUUCA
rnacentral:rRNA from 1 species